rnacentral:lncRNA from 1 species
GUCCCACCUGUGAGGCCCUGAGGCGGGCGCCUCCCUGAGUGUGGGUCGCGCAGGCAUCGGCCCUGCGUGGCUGAGCUGAGAGAUGUUUGUGUGGCGUGCUGCGGAUAUUGGACCUAGAGUCCCUUGAGGGAUGGUUGCCUGUGUUGAUGGCUGUUCUGCAUGUACCAAGCACUGUGUUGAUGGCUUUACAUUGCUGUUAUCACAAAUACUUCCUCACUGCCUACCUUGCACCGGGCAAGGUUUAUUACCGAGGACACAGCUGUGAACAAGGCAGAUUUCCUUAGCCAACUUCAAGCUGGACACUGCACAGCUGAAUCCCCCUGGAGCACUGGAGCUGGACGCUAAUGAAGUCGCCACUGAAAUCUUGGGAAUCUUCGAAGAAGACAGAGAAGCCGAGAGGCAGCAUCUGAGGUCACCAACCAGGGCCAUCAGCCCACAGGUCACAGCCUCCAGCAAGCAAGGGACUUGUGUGGCUUGUGACUCAGUGUUGGAGAUAAUUGCACAGAGACCUGU